GAGAAAAAAGAAAAAAAAAGAAGAAGUUAUUUAUGUUAUUUGAGGCCAAAAAGAAAAACCAAAUUCUGAAAGAAUGAACCGUAAGCUCAAUCCCAUCAUAUUCCGUUGGAAACCAUCAGAGCAUGCAAUUCAUUCGACAACUGAGCUUCUUAACUAUGUAAGGUAAUAUUCACUCAAAUUCUCCACAAGGUAAUCAUAUUGUGCAUGAAGCAUAUAGUCAUAUGUUCCAUUGGGCGGCAUGACUCUAUUUGCUGAGGGGUAAACAUUUCCAAGACCAACUUUUGUGUUAAUUCUGGUCCUCCCCUUAACAAAGCGUUUAUUAUCAGGAAAUUCGGCGGUCAAUCUCCCCAUUUGCCUCUGUAAAUCAGCAACUGAAUCAUUAGAUACCUUUGCCUUAGAACCUUUUUU
rnacentral:misc_RNA from 1 species